rnacentral:rRNA from 1 species
AUUGAACGCUGGCGGCAGGCCUAACACAUGCAAGUCGAGCGGAUGAAGGGAGCUUGCUCCUGGAUUCAGCGGCGGACGGGUGAGUAAUGCCUAGGAAUCUGCCUGGUAGUGGGGGAUAACGUCCGGAAACGGGCGCUAAUACCGCAUACGUCCUGAGGGAGAAAGUGGGGGAUCUUCGGACCCCACGCUAUCAGAUGAGCCUAGGUCGGAUUAGCUAGUUGGUGGGGUAAAGGCCUACCAAGGCGACGAUCCGUAACUGGUCUGAGAGGAUGAUCAGUCACACUGGAACUGAGACACGGUCCAGACUCCUACGGGAGGCAGCAGUGGGGAAUAUUGGACAAUGGGCGAAAGCCUGAUCCAGCCAUGCCGCGUGGGUGAAGAAGUUCUUCGGAUUGUAAAGCACUUUAGGUUGGGAGGAAGGGCAGUAAGUUAAUACCUUGCUGUUUUGACGGUACCAACAGAAUAAGCACCGGCUAACUUCGUG